ACAGGCUCUAUAAGAUGUUAAGGAACAGCCUCUAUAAAAUGAGAGAGAGAUGGUAAGGCUGUUAUAAGUUCCUUAAUCGAAUCAAUUUUUUUGUACUUUUAACACUCAUUCCAUGGUUGUGGUUUUUGUUUACAAAGUCAUUGACUGGAAAUUCAAAAGAGAGCUCUGAGAGGAGUUCCACAGAAGGUUUCGUAUCUACUGUUGGGACCUUGAAAUGGGUAAACCAUGUCAUUCUCUUAUCUCAGUUAUCUGUUUACAAAGGUGCUGGUGGCAUUCAAGCUCUCAUGAAAAGCAAUGAAAGAAAAUUAGCCGAAGAAGAUCAGUCAAUACUGAUGGCCUCGGAAUGCCUUACCCCAUCAUCAGGGCUGGUUUGUUACAAAACUCUCCACGUGAAAUUCAAGGCUUUAACUUUGAAAAGGUUGAAACUGAAUUUGAACAACAAUAGGCAAAUGGAAAUGAAUCAACCACUUCCACACCCGCCCACCCUCUUCCUGACAAAAAAGGAGUCCUUGACAGAGACAGAAGACAGUUUUUCAGCACUGACUCAGACAAGAAAGCUCACAGCUACCUGAUAGCUUACAGUUGGUAAAAAAUGAAAUUUACUGUCGUCUCACAAAGAAUGGUAUUUCUUGCUUGCUGCAAUUGGUACUGAACUCAGGAAGAGCAACCUGCUGUUCUAUGUAUUACCAGAUUAAAGAAUAUAUGGUAAUCAUCAUUGCUGACGGAGCAACACAGGGUCUUCCUUCAAACAAAUUGCAAUCGAUGAACCAGCAACUAGCAACAACAUGAAGUACAGAUGAAUGGGAUUGUACAACGAGCCAUAUAAUUACUACGCAAACGAAUU